AAAGCCGGGCAGGUAGCUGCGGGUCGUGGCCGAAAGGCGAACGAUUCGAGGAAAGUCCGGACUCCACAGGGCAGGGUGAUGGCUAACGGCCACCCGGGGUGACCCGCGGGAAAGUGCCACAGAAAACAAACCGCCCCUCAUGCAUUCGCGCGAGGGGUAAGGGUGAAAAGGCGAGGUAAGAGCUCACCGCGUUGCUGGUGACAGCAGCGGCAGGGUAAACCCCACCCGGAGCAAGGCCAAGCAGCAGGCUGGGCGGCUCGUCCAAGGCCUGCGGGUAGGCUGCUAGAGGUGCCGGGUAACCGGCAUCCCAGAGGAAUAGCUACCAGCGCGCGGCGGCAACAAAGCGCGUUACAGAAUCCGGCUUACGCCCGGCUUUUCCG
rfam:Mobiluncus mulieris ATCC 35239 genomic scaffold SCAFFOLD1, whole genome shotgun sequence.